GACGUAGGGCGCGAGCGUUGUCCGGAUUUAUUGGGCGUAAAGAGCUCGUAGGCGGCUUGUCGCGUCGACUGUGAAAACCCGUGGCUCAACCAUGUGGUCUGCAGUCGAUACGGGCAGGCUAGAAUUCGGUAGGGGAGACUGGAAUUCCUGGUGUAGCGGUGAAAUGCGCAGAUAUCAGGAGGAACACCGGUGGCGAAGGCGGGUCUCUGGGCCGAUAUUGACGCUGAGGCGCGAAAGCUAGGGGAGCGAACAGG
rnacentral:rRNA from 1 species